rnacentral:rRNA from 1 species
AUUGAACGCUGGCGGCAGGCCUAACACAUGCAAGUCGAGCGAGCGGCGGACGGGUGAGUAAUGUAUGGGGACCUGCCCGAUGGAGGGGGAUAACUACUGGAAACGGUGGCUAAUACCGCAUACUAUCGGAUGAACCCAUAUGGGAUUAGCUAGUAGGUGGGGUAAAGGCUCACCUAGGCGACGAUCCCUAGCUGGUCUGAGAGGCUGACCAGCCACACUGGGACUGAGACACGGCCCAGACUCCUACGGGAGGCAGCAGUGGGGAAUAUUGCACAAUGGGCGCAAGCCUGAUACAGCCAUGCCGCGUGUAUGAAGAAGGCCUUAGGGUUGUAAAGUACUUUCAGCGGGGAGGCGUUACCCGCAGAAGAAGCACCGGCUAACUCCGUGCCAGCAGCCGCGGUAAUUC